CCAAACGUUAUUCGGAUUUACUGGGCUUAAAGAGUUCGUAGGCGGUCCGUCAAGUGGGGUGUGAAAGCCCUCGGCUCAACCGAGGAAUUGCGCUCCAAACUGUCGGGCUCGAGGGAGAUAGAGGUGAGCGGAACUGAUGGUGGAGCGGUGAAAUGCGUUGAUAUCAUCAGGAACACCAGAGGCGAAGGCGGCUCACUGGGUCUCUUCUGACGCUGAGGAACGAAAGCUAGGGGAGCAAACGGG
rnacentral:rRNA from 1 species